UUAAUAUGUUUGUGCCUUCCUGUUUAUGUAUUAUUCUUGUUUGGGUGUGUUAGUUUCGUAAUAUUUGAUAAAAUUAGAUGUUAUAAAAACAAGUCUUCAAAAUUAAGGUUUAAAGGGCGGAGAGAAUCGAUAUUCAAGGAUAAGAUAAGUUAUCUUUACAAAUCAAAAUAUGUUCUAUUUUCAAUGGAACCAGUUGGUUCUUUUACCUGCAGGAUGGUCUGAGUCUGCCUUCCAGACAAAGGUCCAAUUGCUGCAAAAACAAGGGAAACAUCUCAGAAUUGAAGCAGCGAGAUAGCAAGAAAGAACAUCGACAAUCUAUCAUUUUGACUUCUUCACAUGCUUUUGUUUUAUGAAAAACAUGUGAAUUUGAGAAAAAACAUAGCAAAGAGAUGCAAGAAAGUUCUAAUCCCUUCGUACUAAGGGGAGUACUAAGUCCGUAAUGGUGAAACCAUUCUAGUUGAUGUGUGUGGAUAAUGGCCUUCUGUCGAAGAAGUAUUGGUAUCAAAAACUUCCAUUUCCAUUCCAAUUACUGUAAAAACACGGGAAAUGCCUCAGAAAUGAAUAUAAUAGGAUACCAAGGCGAAAAUUAAUGAUAAUUUUCCAUCUUUAUAGAUUUAAGAAGUUUUUGAUUGUUUUAUAGGUAGGUACCAAGUAAAAACAAAUUGUUGUUUUGUAAAUUGUUUUAAUAGUAGACGUCGGAAAACUUUCCUUUGUUUGAGAUAUUUCUGUGUAUCUUUUUGUUUUAUGGAAAACAAGUGAUUUUAAGACAAAAUAUAACAGAUAUAUUCAUAGUUCUUGUUUCGAUCAGAGCGAACACCUAAUUUGGUAGUAAAUAAAAAGAGAUUGUUGGUUUAUAAGUUGUUUUAAUAGCUAACGUUAGAAAAUUUUAGUUUGUUUUAGAUACUUGUAUUUUUGUUUUAUGAAAGGAAAGUAUAUUUGGGACGAAAUAUAGCAAGUAAAAAUACCCAUAAAUAUACCAAGUAAAAAUACUCAUAAUUCUUGUUUUUAUCAGAACGAAUUCCUAAUUCUAAUACAUACCUAAUGUAGUGAGCCAUUAAAAGAACGCAUUUUGACGAAAACUGUUUUGAUCUGUGCCCUUUUACUAUUAAAAUUUUGUAAAAGCAUUCGGGAACCAUGUUUCUUUAAAAGUAGCGUCACUUGAAAAGACCGUCUCCGGCUGGAUAGUCAGAGAUAUGCAUGAAAUUCACAGCCAACUUUGUUGAUGUAGUUGAGAAAAUUUAAAAUAAAUAUAUUUGGAAUGUCAA